GUGGCUGUAGCUCAGUUGGUAGAGCCCUGGAUUGUGAUUCCAGUUGUCGACGGUUCGAGCCCGUUCAGCCACCCCA
rnacentral:tRNA from 3 species